GGGGCUGUAGCUCAGUUUGGGAGAGCGCAUGACUGGCAGUCAUGAGGUCAGGGGUUCGAUCCCCCUCAGCUCCACCA
rnacentral:tRNA from 2 species